AUAGCUCAGUUGGUAGAGUGUUUGCCUCACAUGCAAAAGGCCCUGGGUUCAAUCCUCAGU
rnacentral:tRNA from 1 species